ACGUACGCUGGCGGCGUGCUUAACACAUGCAAGUCGAACGGUGAAGCGCCUUCCUUUUUGGUGGGUGUGGAUGAGUGGCGAACGGGUGAGUAACACGUGAGUAACCUGCCCCCUUCUUCUGGAUAACCGCAUGAAAGUGUGGCUAAUACGGGAUAUUCUGGGUCUGUCGCAUGAUGGGUCUGGGAAAGAUAUUGUUUCGGUGGGGGAUGGGCUCGCGGCCUAUCAGCUUGUUGGUGGGGUGAUGGCCUACCAAGGCGGUGACGGGUAGCCGGCCUGAGAGGGUGGACGGUCACACUGGGACUGAGACACGGCCCAGACUCCUACGGGAGGCAGCAGUGGGGAAUAUUGCACAAUGGGCGCAAGCCUGAUGCAGCGACGCCGCGUGAGGGAUGGAGGCCUUCGGGUUGCGAACCUCUUUCGCCAGUGAAGCAGGCCUGCCUCGUUUGUGGGUGGGUUGACGGUAGCUGGAGAAGAAGCGCCGGCUAACUACGUG
rnacentral:rRNA from 1 species